CAAUAGCGUAUAUUAAAGUUGUUACAGUUAAAAAGCUCGUAGUUGGAUUUCUGGUCGGAAGCUCCUGUCCUCUGAUGAGCGUACAAGUGCGUCCUACCAUCCUUCUGUUAACCUUUAAGGCUUUCGCGGCUUUCUAGGGGCUCAGAUAUUUUACCUUGAGAAAAUUAGAGUGUUUCAGGCAGGCUAGCGCCGGAAUACAUUAGCAUGGAAUAAUGGAAUAGGACUUUUGCCUCUUCUGUUGGUCAUGAGGCUCGAGUAAUGAUUAAUAGGGAUAGUUGGGGGCAUUAGUACUUAACUGUCAGAGGUGAAAUUCUCGGAUUUGUUAAAGACUAACUUAUGCGAAAGCAUUUGCCAAGGAUGUUUUCAUUA
rnacentral:rRNA from 1 species